GACGAACGCUGGCGGCGUGCUUAACACAUGCAAGUCGAACGGAAAGGCCCUGCUUUUGUGGGGUUCUCGAGUGGCGAACGGGUGAGUAACACGUGAGUAACCUGCCCUUGACUUUGGGAUAACUUCAGGAAACUGCGGCUAAUACCGGAUAGGAGCUCCUGCUGCAUGGUGGGGGUUGGAAAGUUUCGGCGGUUGGGGAUGGACUCGCGGCUUAUCCGCUUCUUGGUGGGGUAGUGGCUUACCAAGGCUUUGACGGGUAGCCGGCCUGAGAGGGUGACCGGCCACAUUGGGACUGAGAUACGGCCCAGACUCCUACGGGAGGCAGCAGUGGGGAAUAUUGCACAAUGGGCGGAAGCCUGAUGCAGCAACGCCGCGUGCGGGAUGACGGCCUUCGGGUGGUAAACCGCUUUCGCCUGUGACGAAGCGUGAGUGACGGUAAUGGGUAAAGAAGCACCGGCUAACUACGUG
rnacentral:rRNA from 1 species